rnacentral:rRNA from 1 species
GACGAACGCUGGCGGCGUGCCUAAUACAUGCAAGUAGAACGCUGAAGGAGGAGCUUGCUUCUCUGGAUGAGUUGCGAACGGGUGAGUAACGCGUAGGUAACCUGCCUGGUAGCGGGGGAUAACUAUUGGAAACGAUAGCUAAUACCGCAUAAUAGUAGAUGUUGCAUGACAUUUGCUUAAAAGGUGCAAUUGCAUCACUACCAGAUGGACCUGCGUUGUAUUAGCUAGUUGGUGAGGUAACGGCUCACCAAGGCAACGAUACAUAGCCGACCUGAGAGGGUGAUCGGCCACGCUGGGACUGAGACACGGCCCAGACUCCUACGGGAGGCAGCAGGAGGGAAUCUUCGGCAAUGGACGGAAGUCUGACCGAGCAACGCCGCGUGAGUGAAGAAGGUUGUCGGAUCGUGAAGCUCUGUUGUAAGAGAAGAACGAGUGUGAGAGUGGAAAGUUCACACUGUGACGGUAUCUGACCAGAAAGGGACGGCUAACUACGUG